UGGGGAAUAUUGCGCAAUGGGCGGAAGCCUGACGCAGCCACGCCGCGUGAGCGAUGAAGGAUUUCGGUUCGUAAAGCUCUGUGGGGAGAGAAGAAGAAAGCCGAUGAAGAGUCGGCCAUGACGGUAUCUCCUUAGCAAGCACCGGCUAACUCUGUGCCAGCAGCCGCGGUAAUACAGAGGGUGCAAACGUUGCUCGGAAUUAUUGGGCGUAAAGCGCACGUAGGCGGUUUGGUAAGUUGGAUGUGAAAACCCCGGGCUCAACCCUGGAAGUGCAUCCAAGACUGUCAAGCUAGAGUGUCGGAGGGGGUCGGAGAAUUCCCGGUGUAGAGGUGAAAUUCGUAGAUAUCGGGAGGAACAUCUGUGGCGAAGGCGCCGACCUGGACGAUAACUGACGCUGAGG
rnacentral:rRNA from 1 species